GAUGAACGCUGGCGGCGUGCCUAAUACAUGCAAGUCGAGCGAACGGACGAGAAGCUUGCUUCUCUGAUGUUAGCGGCGGACGGGUGAGUAACACGUGGAUAACCUACCUAUAAGACUGGGAUAACUUCGGGAAACCGGAGCUAAUACCGGAUAAUAUUUUGAACCGCAUGGUUCAAAAGUGAAAGACGGUCUUGCUGUCACUUAUAGAUGGAUCCGCGCUGCAUUAGCUAGUUGGUAAGGUAACGGCUUACCAAGGCAACGAUGCAUAGCCGACCUGAGAGGGUGAUCGGCCACACUAGAACUGGGACACGGUCCAGACUCCUACGGGAGGCCGCAGUAGGGAAUCUUCCGCAAUGGGCGAAAGCCUGACGGAGCAACGCCGCGUGAGUGAUGAAGGUCUUCGGAUCGUAAAACUCUGUUAUUAGGGAAGAACAUAUGUGUAAGUAACUGUGCACAUCUUGACGGUACCUAAUCAGAAAGCCACGGCUAACUACGUG
rnacentral:rRNA from 1 species